CUAACUGGUCUGAACUGGUUCCAGGACGGGGGAGCCGGACGAGGCCGAGGGGCCCCUGCGCCAAUCCAUGCGGCGUCUCUCCACCCGCCUGAGAUGAAAUUCGGGAAUUUCUGGGAUCCGAAAAUCGCCCAAAAUUCCCCCAAAUGCUCCCCGCCCCUCCCCCAAUAAACACAGAACCGGUUGGGAUGGAC